rnacentral:rRNA from 1 species
GACGAACGCUGGCGGCGUGCCUAAUACAUGCAAGUCGAACGCUUCUUUCCUCCCGAGUGCUUGCACCCAAUUGGAAAGAGGAGUGGCGGACGGGUGAGUAACACGUGGGUAACCUACCCAUCAGAGGGGGAUAACACUUGGCAACAGGUGCUAAUACCGCAUAACAGUUUAUGCCGCAUGGCAUAAGAGUGAAAGGCGCUUUCGGGUGUCGCUGAUGGAUGGACCCGCGGUGCAUUAGCUAGUUGGUGAGGUAACGGCUCACCAAGGCCACGAUGCAUAGCCGACCUGAGAGGAUGAUCAGCCACACUGGGACUGAGACACGGCCCAGACUCCUACGGGAGGCAGCAGUAGGGAAUCUUCGGCAAUGGGCGAAAGUCUGACCGAGCAACGCCGCGUGAGUGAAGAAGGUUUUCGGAUCGUAAAACUCUGUUGUUAGAGAAGAACAAGGACGUUAGUAACUGAACGUCCCCUGACGGUAUCUAACCAGAAAGCCACGGCUAACUACGUG